rnacentral:rRNA from 1 species
CGACCGGCGCACGGGUGAGUAACACGUAUGCAACCUGGCCGUCACAGGUGGAUAACCGGAAGAAAUUCCGACUAAUACAGCAUAACACUCCUGAGGGACAUCCUUCGGGAGUCAAAGGAGGCAACUCCGGUGACGGAUGGGCAUGCGGCGCAUUAGGUAGUUGGUAGGGUAACGGCCUACCAAGCCGACGAUGCGUAGGGGUUCUGAGAGGAAGGUCCCCCACACUGGUACUGAGACACGGACCAGACUCCUACGGGAGGCAGCAG